rnacentral:rRNA from 1 species
CCUACGGGGGGCAGCAGUGAGGAAUAUUGGUCAAUGGGCGGGAGCCUGAACCAGCCAAGUCGCGUGAGGGAAGACGGUCCUAUGGAUUGUAAACCUCUUUAGGCGGGGAGCAAUGCCGGGCACGUGUGCCCGGAGGGAGAGUACCCGCAGAAUAAGCAUCGGCUAACUCCGUGCCAGCAGCCGCGGUAAUACGGAGGAUGCGAGCGUUCUCCGGCUUUAUUGGGUUUAAAGGGUGCGUAGGCGGAUUUUUAAGUCAGCGGUAAAAUGUCCGGGCUACACCCGGGCCGGCCGUUGAAACUGGGGAGCUUGAGUGGGCGAGAAGUAUGCGGAAUGCGUGGUGUAGCGGUGAAAUGCAUAGAUAUCACGCAGAACUCCGAUUGCGAAGGCAGCAUACCGGCGCCCGACUGACGCUGAGGCACGAAAGCGUGGGGAUCGAACAGGAUUAGAUACCCGAGUAGUC